GGAGGAUCAAGCUGGGGUCGCAGGGCCUGGAGGUGACGGCGCAGGGGCUGGGCUGCAUGGGUAUGUCCGCCUUCUACGGCCCUCCCAAGUCCGACCCCGACAUGAUCGCCCUCAUCCACCACGCCGUCGGCUCCGGCGUCACCUUCCUCGACACCUCCGACGUCUACGGCCCCCACACCAACGAAAUCCUCCUCGGAAAGGUCGGUUCUCUCAGUCUCUCUUUUGCCUCCGCAUGAAUUAUAUAGGGGAUUUAGCUUCAUCGAGCAGUGUGCUCCGAUCCUGCGCCUUGGUUUUCUGAUUUCGGGGUUGAUUUUGAGCAGGCACUGAAGGGAGGGGUGAGGCAGAAGGUGGAAUUGGCGACCAAGUUCGGAAUCAGCUUCGCGGACGGGAAGAGGGAGAUCCGGGGUGAUCCGGCGUACGUGAGGGCGGCUUGCGAGGCCAGCUUGAAGCGGCUCGACAUCGAUUGCAUCGACCUCUACUACCAACAUCGCAUCGACACUCGCGUCCCCAUCGAAGUCACUGUAUGGAUCCCUCAUCAAACCUUUACCUCUCUUAAGACAUUCUCCGAGUGAUCAGUUGCUAAAUUAGAUUGGUGUUGAUGAUGCAUCAUCAUCAAGAUAUCGUUAAAUGAGACUUGAGUUCAGAUGAUAGCAGAGUUCAAGAUGCGGCACGGUGUUGUUCAAGGGAUUGUGGAAUUUAGUAGUUUAUAUGGCUUGAGUUUUUGUUUUAUGGGUCAACAAGCAUGAAAAUUAUUUGAAUUCUUUAUUUGAGAUGAAAGUGCUCCAGGGUUCAUCCUGAUUUAUAUCUGAGAAUCACAUUUGAAGUUGUUCCUGGACUUUCUGCGGAGACAUUUGGUUCUUGACAUGUCAUUGUGAAUUAUGACAAGUACUUGGAAUACUUCUUUAAUUUGCCUUCUUCUGUAAUAGAUUAGAGAGAUCCACCUCCGUUAACGCAAUACCUUGCGACUUUCUUGUUGCAUUGAGAUGCACAAAGAUUGACUAUUUUUUGCUGGGAGCUACCUAGUCAAAUUGUAAUGUUUGAGAAGUCAGGGAACACAAACUAUUCAGGCAUCAGGACACAAGAAAAACUAAUGAUGUUCAAUAAUUUCUGGACUUAACAUGUAAGAUCUUGACGAUUGUUGUUUUUUCAUGUGAAUAUGCACAGAUUGGAGAGCUAAAGAAGCUCGUUGAAGAGGGUAAGAUCAAGUACAUCGGUUUAUCCGAGGCCUCUGCGUCAACAAUCAGAAGAGCACAUGCUGUUCAUCCCAUCACAGCGGUGCAACUGGAGUGGUCGCUGUGGUCAAGAGAUGUGGAGGCAGAGAUCAUUCCCACGUGCAGGUAGGAUAUCACUGUUUAUUUGUUUAUGCAGUAACAACAUCUUUCUUCUGACUCUGCUCUUCCUUUAAAAUGUUGACUAGGGAGCUUGGCAUUGGAAUUGUUGCCUACAGUCCUCUUGGACGAGGAUUCCUUUCUGUUGGCUCCAAGUUGGUGGAGAAUCUCUCCAAGGAUGACUUCAGACAGGUCUGUUUCUGCUGGUCAACAUAAUUAGAUGCUCACAGUGACUGUCAUUCCCAUUGAAGUGCUGGAAACCUGUUCUUAUGCUAUAAAGAAAAAGUAUCUGGAUGUUAUGAAUAAAACUUUAUGACACAAACGCUUCAUAUUCUUAUUCGAUCCAGCACUCGCCAGUCAUCCCACCUCUCGUGAUUCUAGAUAAAUUUAAAAAUCACAAGUAAUGGCUUUAAUGAGCCUGAAAGGGGCAGUUUCCCAGAUUCUUGUGCUUUUGGGAAUGAAUAAAUAUAGGUUUAUUUGUAAGUUGCUCCGUUUCCCAGCUUUCCCACCAUUUGCUAAUCACUAUCCUUUCCCCGCUUUCCACCCACCCUUUUUCUCUCAAUUCUUUAGAAGAUUAGCAAUAUUUGCUCAAAAUAACCGACACCAAUAUUGGGCCUUGGCCUCCGUCCUUUUUUUUUUCUCAUUUUUCUUCACAAGAUAAAUUAUAUCUUGACACAACCAUUUCUUGAGUGAGGACUCCCUAACACCCUUCUUAUGGUAGUUUUGGGAUCAAGUUCCCAUCUGACAUAAAGCCAAUUGUGUAUUACUCCCGGCCAUUAGUGUUUGACUAGCGAUAGUGCUGGGCAAGUGAAGUAGCUAUUUUUCUUUAUAGCUAAAAGAGCUUUGCGUCUGAUAACAUUCUUCUACACGUCAUCUACCUUUUGUGAUUUUUUUUUCUUAUGUGUAUCAUACGUACAAAACUUAGAUUGUCGAGUUUGUUUCUGUUUUCACAUCCUACAUCAAACCCAUCAGCCUUGUGUGGUAGUUGCUAGAUCACUUGGCUUGGCGUUUCUAAUGCUUAUGAUUUGGGGCUAGAUUUUUUAAUCAUUUCAAGAUAAUCUAUAACUGAUCAUGCUUUUCCAGGUACACAACAAUUGUGCACUUCUAAAUGCUUAUUAUGUCAAGUAACAAGGCAAUCUGUUGGCAUGCAAUGCGAUCACUUUUGCACCUGUUGCUGUAGAAUUUGGCCUUAAAAGGAAAAUGAUAGUUGCUCAUAUGCUUUCUGCUGAGACAUUGCUCUAUGUUAUGCAGUACCUACCAAGGUUCCGGCCAGAGAACUUGGCUCACAACACAAAGUUAUUCGACCGAGUGAAUGAAAUUGCACAAAGAAAGGGAUGCACCCCGUCGCAGUUAGCCCUCGCCUGGGUACACCACCAGGGUGAUGAUGUUUGCCCAAUUCCUGGCACGACCAAGAUUGAGAAUUUCAACCAGAACAUCGGAGCUCUAUCAGUGAAGCUUACACCGGAAGAGAUGGCGGAGCUCGAAUCGAUUGCUUCUGCAGACAAUGUCAAGGGUGGCAGGUACGAUGGAAACCUCUCUACAUGGGAAAACUCCGACACUCCACCCCUUUCUUCUUGGAAACCUGCCUAGAAACAUGUCUACUUCUUUUGCUGCGUCUUUGAUAUGCAGAGUUUGUGCAUUUGCCGCUGAAGUAAUUUGAGGCUAUGUUGUGUGGCUUUUAUAAGUAUGUGUAAUAAGAGUGACUGUUUUCGUUUUGUACAACAUGUGACAUUCACUAUGAGAAGAUUAUGGAUAUGUACUAAGCUUACUGGGGAAAGAUCACUCGAUAAACACAAGAGCGAGUUGAAUAUGAACUGAGCCUGCCAUGCCGACUUUAUCGGGGUGACUUUUAGAAUCUGAGAAAUCGGGAUUUUGAAGAAUUCAAACUCAGUCGUACAUACUAAGUGACGCUUUAUUCUCCUCCAACCAUGAGUUCAAUACUAACACCGUGUGCAACAUACUCUUAAGACUGGAUGCUACACAUAGAUACAAUGCUUCGCUUUGUGUUUGGUUUGGUAGCGAAGUAAAGGAACAGUAAAAUGUUACCGGAUGUUCUCGCAAAAACAAAGUUUGGGAUAAAAUGCUGGCGUAGUUGAUAUGAGUGUCGGGGAAAUCAAAGGUUUCUUGUUCAAGUUUCACCACCUACGGUGCAUGAGCUUUUAUGUAGCUCGAUACCUUUGCUCAUGCCUCUGCAUUAUUAUAAAACAGUCGGAGAUAUUGCGCAAGUUUCCUAAAAUUAAAAACGACACUUCUAUUGUUUUUUAUUUGGAAUUAGAGUGGAGCAAUGUUGUUUUGUUUUGGUUUAGGAAAAUAACGCAAAUAGUCAUUAAACUUUGGUCCAAUGUGUUAUGUUCUUACUGAACUUUUAAUUUAUUUAGUAUGGUUGUCGAACUUUUUGUACAUGUUUAAUUUAGAUCCUAGGCUAGAUAAAUCUAAUGACGCUGUGUUUGGUCGUUCGAACAUCUUUGCUAUAUGGGAUAAUGAUAGGAUAAAAAUCCCAUCUAAUAUUUCUUGACGUCCGGAUAUAACAUGAUUCAAAUAAAACAAAUUUAAAUGAGUGUUUGAUUUGUAUAAUUAAAAUUAAAAGUAAACCAUGGAAGUCGUGAAUAGUAUUCAUCCUUUCACAAUCUUCAUCGAUAUUAAACACCCCCGUUCCAUGUGACUUCAAGGACGCUCUCCUUCUGCAACGCCCCUUUCGCUGCCCUUGAUCAACUUGAUGGAUUACGCUCGCUCUACCUUUGACUUCGCCACAUUGAGAGGCCCUUGGGUUUGAGUUCUCCGCUGGUCUAGCCAUCUUUACUUUCAACGCCUUUUCCUGCGAUGAAUCCAUCCCCUUCGAUGAGUGUGAAUACUGCGUUGAUUCCCUGUUACCGUGUCCCGACUUGUUCAGUCACUUCAACAGCUUCCCCGAGACAGCGUGCGGAUCCGGUUUAUGAGUGGUAGCAGCAUCGGUACAACUCGCUCCAAGUGACGUGGUUGAGGAGCUCUAUCACCUUGGCUGCUGCCUCUUUCGGAUCAUCUUCUUCACAGAGGAGGUGUCCAGCUUUGAUCGGGAUCACAAAGUUCCCAACUAAAAUGGAGUUAAGUGACAUAAGAAAGAGGCAGGGCUGACGAGCUCCGGCGCCACUUUUCCGAGGCAGCCAAAGGUGGUAAGCAGCUUGUCACUGGUAGGAGGAACGGUGGCCCUUAGAGUUUGCUCAGGUCGUUGUGGCGAGGGCUUCUCUAGGUAUCUUCGUGAUACUCAUGCUUUAAGUUUGUGGUGGUCAUUUUAGCGAGAAAAAUCGGAACGAGAGAGAGAUGAUGGUGGCACUGGUAAAAAAUGAGGAUAAGCCAUCAACAAGCGCAGGAGUGGGGGAAAAACUUGUAUCCCUUAUUUUUUCAAUUUUCCAAAUUUCACAUAUCCUAUCUAGAUCUAUAUCACUUUUUAGAUGGGAUUUUUUAUCCAGACUAUAUCUAAAUUUCACUAACAUCGGGACCCCUAGAGUGCCAAAAGUUUGCACAAAAAGACAAUUAAGUGUCAAAAGUUAUGAAAAUGACACUUAAGUGCUAAAAUUGGAAUAAAAUAGAUCACUUAAGUGCAAAUCUGGUCAAAAUAUUGACAUGACAAUUUUCCAGCAAAACAAGUGCAAAACGGUGUCGUUUUGGUGCUGACAUGGAAAAAAUUAAUACAAAAAUUAAUUAAAUGAAAUUUAAAAUUAAAUUUAAUUAAAACAUUUAAAAAUAAAAAUACAAAAAUUUUAAAAAAGGAGAGAGGCGGUUGAGGGCUGAGCCCUUGUCGCUAGGAAGGGUCGGAGAUGGAGGGGGGAGGGUUAGCCGGGGUUGCCGGGCCCUAGGCCAGGGGCCGGCGACCUCGGCCAACUGGUGGCAAGGGCCCGCGAGCCCUCGCCUAGUUUUGGGGCGAGGGUUGCGGCCCUCACCUAGUUGAGCCAAGGGCCGCCGAUCCUCGCAGAAUCUGGGUGAGGGCUGCAACCCUUACUAGAUUUGGGCAAGGGCUCGUGAGCCCUCGCUGCCGGUUAGUUGGGGUCGCUGGCCCCUAGCUAGGGCUCAGCGACCAUGGUUGACCCUCCCCCCUCCGUCGUUGACCCUUCACGGUGACGACAGCGAUGGCUCAACCCUUAGCUACCUCCCCUCCCCCCCUCUUUGUCUCUCUGUCUCUGUCUCUCUCUGUCUAUAUAUAUAAAUAUUUAUGAUUUUUUAAUACUUGUAUUUGUAUUUUUAAAUGUUUUAAAUAAAUUUAAUUUUACAUUUAAUUUAAUUUACAUUAUUUUUUUACCAUAUUAACACCAAAACGACGUCAUUUUUGCAUUGUCUAGCUACGACAGUGUGCAAAAUGAUGCCGUUUUGCACUUACUUCGCCAGAAAUUGCGUACAUCAGAGCCAUGAUUUCGUUUGUAAUAAUAUCCGUUCCAUAUGCUUAAUAGGUGAAUCCAAUGCUGAGAAGGUUUCUUCACAUCAUGACAGAUCUAGAAAUACUAGAAGCAUCUGUUUCUCUUACUGCAUCUCCAUCUUUUUCAACCCCUUCAGAUUUUCAUGUUUUAAAUGCUUCUAAGAUAUACUAUCUCUAUGAAAUCUCUCUUAGCGAUGAAACCAAAAUCUCUGAAACUUAACUUUCCCUGAUGAACUCAUAUUUUGCUUUUGCUAAACCCACCUCAUCCUUUUCUCCCAUUCGUUCCAUUCGCCAACUUAUUCGCCAAACUCCAAAGGAAGUAAAUGAGUACGUUAAGUCCUUCAAGUUCGACCAACAUCCCAUUCUCGCCAUUGAAAAUGAGUACUUUGUUACUCUCUAGAUUCCUCCAGAGUUUCCUAGGCAAUAGAUUCAAAAAGGAUAGUCUCAUGUCCAUUAUGGAGUUGUUCGUCUUGCUCUUACUUUUUAUGGCCGCAAGGGCUUGCCAGUUGUGGCAAGAAUAGCAUUACUGGAUACUAGAUUUCUAAAGUACUAGUAUACUUGUAUCAGUACUAUCCAAACCACUUUAAAUGUUGGAAUAGUUUUUGUGACUUUGUAUCCAAAUUUCAAUUUGCUCUUUCAAAUCCACAGUUACUUUCCUUUUUGAAAGUCUAAGUUUAGCUCACUGGAGCACCUCAGACAGCUGAUUCUGUUGUUGCAACACUACACUACUAGAUCGUUUAUUAAGUGCAGAACCAUGCUCUUGACUUGAAUUUCCACAAUGAAAAUGAAGAUGCUUUAUUCAUCUCCAUGCAAAAUGAUCAUGCAUCCUGCAUUCAUGUUCCCAGACAUAUCCCAAAGGAAAAGUUGCCAAGCUUCUUCUAGAGACUUGGAUCACUAACUAUGAAAAGUUACAUCAGAAUAACAAACCUUUCUAGUCUUCAGACUUUGAAUUUGUCAGAAAGAAAGAUGGAACUGUUUCCAUCAAAUUUGGCAAGGAAAAUAAAGAAAUUCUUUUUAUCUUCCAAAUCCUCUUUAUGAUCGAACCAUGUGUUCCGAGCUAGAUAAAAAAAAAAGAAGCUUGUUUAAUACUUCAAAAGUGAUUAACAUCAUGUCCAUUACUACAAAGACUAGUAUGGUCACUGUUUCUAAGAUCCUUUUUGUCAAUGUUCUUUUUGCACAAACUCUCCCGACGAGGUAGACCCAUAUGCAAGACCUCGACGGAAGCAUAAGAAGCCAAAAGAUCCUAUGUACCAAAGGUACUUGAAUGGAGAUCCCUCCGUUGAUACUCUUGGUGAGUGUGAUAAAUUCUAGUUUAUGGUUUCCUAUACACCAACUCCACCACCAGAGUUCAUUACUCCACUAAUAUCACCAAGUUCAUCACCAUCACCUCCUCCAUCUCCUCCAAAAAAAAAAGAAAACCAACUCUUUCCCCAUUUUAUAAGCCAAUCUUAAAGUGGGCGAAUAAAUAUUCCUACCCACUUGAGGCUCUAGCAGAACACCACCAAGUUCUUUCAUAGCCAUGUUCCAUGAGACAUACUUUCCUCUUUUUAUUCGAGAAAGUUAUAAUCUCGUUUCCUGCUCCAAAAGAAUUCAUUGAUCUACAAGGCAGAUAUCGGCAUGCCCCUAAGAUACCUACCCCCACUGAUGUGGAUGGACAUGGAAGAUAGAAAAGGACUCCUGUUGUUGAAGCUGUCCUAAAUUGGCAAUCGGAAACUCUUUUAGCAUAUAACAAUGCGUUCAAAGCAAUUGAUUCCAAGAUUGUAAAUGUGCAACAAGAUUUUCGAAAUAUGAUGAAACCACCAAGAAGAUGCUUUCAGAUUUCCAAAAGAGGCUUCAUGCCUUGGAAUCUAGAUAACAUUUAGGGUGUCAUCAUCUCGAAAGUCCUAAGGUGGAAAUAGAGAAGCUCAAAAGGCAAAUUCAACUCCUUGAAGAAGGAAGAUUCAAUCCAUUUCCGACUACUUUGCGGACAGAGCAUCCCCCUCUUCCACUAGCCCAUAACACAUCUAUCUUUGUUGCUAUCACAGAUGUUCUUGUUAGGCAAGAUAAGACAAAUGUGGCUGAAAUGCGAAAUCUUCUCAAAGAACUGGACUGAAUAAGAAAAGAAAAGGGAAAAGAGAAGAUGCCUAAAGAAUCCUUGCUUGUCAUAAGGAAAAAGCCAGAUCAAUUGAUGCUGUCGAAUCUAUUAGAAUCUUUCCGAAGAGAUUUGGGUAAUCAGGAAUCACAGUCUGAUCUUGUUACUCAACAUCUUGAUCCCGUCAUUCCAACAGAUCAGAUUCUAUUUUCAGCAGAACUAGCUUUUCCAAAUAUCUUUGAUACUGAAUUAAAUUCGGUAUCCCUCUUGUCCUCCUCAUCCUUCUCAAUCCCUACCAUUGAUUCCUUCCCUAUUGUACUAGUAAUUUCAUCAAUAUUCAUGAUCGAUCAUCCGGACCAAGAUAUGGAAUCAAACCAUUCUGAACCAAAGGUUGUUUAGCCAAACAAUCCCUCCCAGCACGUGUAUUUUGCAUCAAAAUAGUUUAUUUAUUUAUUUAUUUAUCGUUGAUGACAUUCCCUAUCACAAAUGGCCAUAAAGACUUGAAGAAUUUCAUACUUGGUUAAAUACCCAAACCCUUACCAACCAGGAUAAGUAUGAUGUCAUUUUUGAUUUUGUCACAAGGUUUACAGGUAGCCUCAAAUAUUGGUGGCAAUCUGUGUUAGAACAAGACCGGCUUCAAUUUUUACUCUCACUUGAUUUUGGUCAUGCCAUUAUCCUUCUAUAUCAUUUCUUUGUGGGAAAACCUUUUGACCUCCAAGAGCUUAAAAGGAGAGAAUUUUUCGAAAGAAGAUGCUGCUUCUUCCAGAAAAAAACAUCUUGAUAAAUAUUAUCGAGAAAUGUUUAAGCUCUUCUAUGGUAUUGGAGCUGAUCCAAACCAGAAACGCAUCUUCUUGACUUCCAUCCCCAAAGAAUUGUCUCAAUAGGUGGAGAGAACUUUUCUCAGCAAACAAAGAAGGAUUCAGGAUAUUCCGUUAGGAGAAAUCUAACAAGAAAUUCAUUUGUGCCUUGAAGAAUUGUGUAUCAAAUGCCAAAUGAUCCAGACUUAUGUCGACAAUAACAGAGAACUUGAUAUAGCAUGUUCUCGCCAUAAGCUAAAGAUCAAAUGUUCAAAGCGAGAUUGUGAUGGUUCUUGCGGAAAAUUUUCCAGAAAAAAGCACUUCAAGAAGCUCUGGAUAAUGAAAUCUAGGCGUGGCUCUAAGCAUUUUUGAAGAAAGAAGAAAUGGCGACACCUAUGCAAAAGGAAAGAUCACUCAGGCCACAAGAAGUCAAAUCAAUGCUUCAUCUGCAAUUAGAAAAGACAUUUUGCCAAAAAUUAUCCCCAAGCGAGAAAAUGUCAAAAUCAUAUGAUAUAUCAUAUAGAGAAUGAAACAGGUAAUUCUCUUGAAAAUGAUAAUAUCGAAUCUUUAUUAUCUGAGAAUGAAGAACCAUCUGAAUAAACUCUUUGUGUCAUUCCUUGUUACGAAACUUCUAGUGAAAUUGAUUCGGAUUCAAAUCCUGAAGAUAUUUUUCACAUAUCUCUCACUUCUUCAGAAUAAAGCACUAACAUAUUUUCAAGCUAAAUUCAUUGUCCCCAUUUCCCUGUGAAAAUCUUCACUUCAAAGUUUGCCAAGCCUUUCAUUGUCAUUGCUCUCAUAGAUACUGGAGCAAGUUCUUCAAUCUUGGACACCAAAGUUAUUCUUGAAGAAUAUUGGACUUCCUAUGUUUGAUACUUCAAUUCUACCUCAGGAGAUACUUUUUCUACGAAUGUAAGAACUACCCUAGUAAUCAUCUAAUUUUUUCCACAGUGUUCCAUAACCAUAAAAAUCUCUGGUUCCAGUCUUCCCCACAAGGAUUUGAUCAUUGGCUGGGAUAUCAUGACUAAAAUUUCUCAACUUCGUAUCAUUUCUAGAAAAUGUCUUAAGUAUAAGGACUAAUUUUCUAAAUUCGUCAAUAUCCAAAGACUUUUUUUCCAUCCAAAUGAGCCUGCUAGACCCCAUCAUGCAAAAGUUGUUAAAAUCAUGUUUGGAAUUUCAUUUUGAAUUUGCUCAAAAAUGUUCUCACCCUCUAUGGGAAAAUUUAGAGUUCUUUGUUUGCCUUCCUUUUUUAAAAAAAAAUGAGGAUAUCAAUCUAAACAAGGCGAGUUACAUGGGAAUGAAGUCAGAACACUUGGUUUUAACUCAAAGGGAAUGUUCGGAACUAUUGCAGCAAUGCCUUAUUGAAAUCUCCAAUUCUCAAUGGGCCUGUGAAGCUUUUUUAUGUCAAUAAGCGUGCCGAACAAAAUAGAGGAAAUAUGAGAAUGGUAAUUAACCAUCAGCCUCUUAACAUUUUUUUCCAAGAUGAUAAAUUCCCUUUACUCUCCAGAAAUUCCCUAUUUACUAGAUUAUCCAAAGCCCAUAUUUACUCUAAAUUCAAUCUCAAAGCCAGAUUUUGGCAAUUGUGCAUCCAUCCUAAAUACAGACCCAAGAUAGGGUUCUGUAUCAUGAACCAACAUUUCCAAAUGGAAAGUUAUUCAUUUUGGUCUAAAGGUGGUACUAUCCUUAUUCCAAAAGGUCAUGUGUCGAAUUUUCCAACUAAUUUUGUCAAGUGCAGUAAUAUACAUUGACGAUAUCGUGCUUUACAAUCUUAAUGAGCAGUCACACUGCCAACUUCUUAAACAGUUUGUAGAAAUUGUGUAAAAGCAUGGGAUCAUGCUUUCUCAAAAAAAGAUGAACAUUGUCCAUAUAUAAAUUGAAUUUCUUGGUAUGACCUUAACAAAGGUAUGUAUUAUCCAUGGCCAUAUAUUGCUCAUGAAUUGUUGAAAUUUCCUGAGGAAAAUUUCACAACAAAGCAAGUUCAGCAAUUUCUUGGAAUAAUUAAUUAUCUCAAAGAUUUCGUUCCAAACAUUGCAGAACUGUUGAUUCCAUUGAAAUUGAUGCUGAAAAAGAAUCCCCCACCUUGGAGAAAAUCUCAGACUAAAGCAGUCGUCGAACUUAAGGAGAUUAUGUAGACUCUUCCUCUGUUACAAAUCCCAUCGAUAAGGAAGAUAAUUCUCUAGAUCGGCGCCAGUGAUGAAUACUGGACAGCCAUCUUGUUUGAAGAAAUUGAUGGUAAGAGACAUCUGUGUACCUAGAAAAGUGGAAAAUUUUCCCAAGCUGAAAUGCAUUAUCAUUCCACUUUCAAAGAAAUCUUGGUGAUGAAAAAUGGAAUAAAAAAGUUCGAAUUCCAUCUCAUUGGCCAUCACUUCAUGGUAAAAUUGGAUAUCCUCAGAUGAUCAAGUUCAAACAGAAGCAGAUUUCGAAUUUUCAACUGCUUCAAUGGGCUGAAUGAUUUUCAAAAUACUCUUUUGAAACCAAACAUAUUGCCGGAAAAAAAAAUGUGCUUGCUGACUUCUUGUCAAGACCAAAAGCACCAGUAAAAAUCAACAUGUACAUCAUGAGGCAUGCUUUUCAUAUUCUUCAUAACAAUGAAAAGUAUAAGAUUGAAAGAAUACAAGACUAGUCAAGCUGGCAAUAUUACUAGGAGAUUGUGGAACAAAUCUAGAAUGACUGCCUUAUUGAAAAUUUGGAUAAUCUCAUGUGGCAAUUCCACACAGAUCUGUUUAGAUUUAAUGGGGGUUCGAUUCUUUAUCUUUUUAGAUUAAAUUCAGACUAUCCGUUCAUACAUCCUUUAAUCUGGAAGGAAGAUAAUUUCCCUGACCAACUUCGAUGGUUAUUAUGGUACUUAACCAAUAAGUACUGAAUAGUAUUGAAAUUCCAACUAGAAGAUUUAUUACCAACCUCACUAGGAUAUUUAGACUUGGCAGAUGAAACAUUGAAAAAGAGAGUGACAGAAAUCUCAUAGGUUUCCUUAAUUGGUUUUAUCCCUCUACUCACUGGAAAUACCUCUUGCAGAAAGAGCUGAGAACCACACAACUAAACCCUGAGGUCCAUAUUAUUUUGUUUUUUCGACGACCGUGGGCUUUUGUCACAAAUAAUGGUAGCAGUAGCAAUGCCCCCCAAAUUAUAGGUACCACAUCCUAUAAACCUCAACCACAUAGUGUAGAAGCUCAGAUUUACAAAUCUUAUUUAGAACCCGUUGGUUGCUACGAGCACCAGUAUCGAGAACUCCAAAGGAUUUUGUACUAGGAAAAUAAAAUCAUUCCUAAAGAUGCAUGGAACUAUAAUGUACCCACUGUAUGAGAUUAUUAUAGUCUCACACUAGAAGUUAAGGAAGCACUCGAAAUAUUCAGACAAGUUACAUCAUCACAGGAGCAUGAAAUGGCAGACACAGAUGACAUCGCACAGUCCUCUCAAGAUCCCUAUGUCAAAUGGGGAGGUCCUCUUUCUCAAGAUCCCUAUGACCAAGAAACUUUGUCCUUAUCUCAAAGCAUUGACACAUCCUACUAUACUCAGUCAUCCAAUUGGUCUCAGCUAAGCAUUCUUGCCAACACUACAGGCUCCUCUUAGAAUCAAGCGAAAGCAUCCUCGUCAAAUCAAAUUCUCUCACCAGAUUCACUUGUAGGACUUGAGAAAAAAAUAUGAAGAAUAGCUUAUGUCAAUGUAUAGUUCGGACGACUCAGACUAUGACUAUAAUGCUCGUGAUGGACGAGACUAUUGACCGUACAAGUCACUGUAGCAAGUCACUUUUCACUUUCAUUGUAGCAGUAGACUAGGGAAAUAACUGUUCAUUAUCAAUGUUCAUAUCGUGCGAAUAAUCUCCUAUGCCUUUAUUUGUUUCAAGAUUGUGAGAAUGAUCCUUGUUUAUGUGUGACCUCUUAUUGCCUAUAAAAGACAAGAAUGAUGUAAUGUGUUGGGCAGAGUCCCUUGAAGUAAAGUGAGUAUUUUGUGUAAAACUCUCUAUGGCUUUAUAAACUUAUCUUCUUCUCCAGUCUGGUAGGAUCAUUUGAGAAAUGUAGUUCGGAUAGUUAGAAAUGUUACCAUCCUGGUUCUAUAUGAGUGUUUCUAGACUCUGAACUAAAGGGAAGAGUGGUUUUAUGUUAAAAGGCUGUCUCUGAAGGGCUUGAACGGAAGAGGUUCACCUACUGUGGGGUAUGCCAACUUUUGGCACUUGAAAUAAUCUUUUGCCGAAUUUCACGUUACUCUAAACACCGGAUAUGAUCAAACUUUUACUAUCAAAGUUUUAUCUAGCCCAUCAAAGGCAGUCUUAUGAGAUAGGAUGCAAUGAUAUAAUCUAUGAAUUAGAUCAAACAUUUAUUAAAAGUUUAAGAACGAUAUUUCAUUUUUUGAAUGUUAGGAUGCACGAGUAAGUUAUGUUAAAACAAUCCCACAAUAUAUUGAUAGCUUUGAAAUAAGGCUUUCUCUUGGUGAUGACGAAGAUCCAUAUGGAGAAAUUAAUGGGAGGGUUUGUUUGGCCUAACUAAAUGAGAGGCUAUAUCAGUGGGAGGUUUUUCAUUGUAACCUUGUGCUUGGUAUUUGUAUUUUAGUAAAGGAUUUUGUUAGCAUAAUAGUUUCUGAGUUAUUGUGAGAAUAACAACUUAUUAUGAGUUACAAAAUUUUCUCUUUCUUUUUUUCUUCACUUCCUUCUCCUUCCUCCAACCAAUCAUCACUAGUGAUUGGCAAGAGGCAAGGUUGGUGAGGUACCUCGCUGGUCUCGAGGAAGCUUGACCAUGGUUAGGCAACCUUGCUCAUGGCUAGGCGACCUCGCCUAGGCCGCCAACUGGGCUGGUGAGGGUUGACCCUCGACGGCCAUGGGUGAGGACAAAUGCCGCUAGUUGGGCUUGCGAGGCUCGCCCUUAUUGAAUUUGGCGAGAGUUGAGUCUCAUUGGCCAUGGGUAAGGUCAAAGGCCGUGACCUCACGUGGUCUUUGGUGAGGCUUGCCAAAGGUUGGGCAAGGCUCACCGUCGUUGGACUGAUGAGGGUCGAGUCUCGUCGGCCAUGGGUGAGAUUGCAACUUGCCCAUGGCCGGCGAGGUGAGCCUAGGCCAAAGGCAGGCGAGACCUUGCCUAACCAUGGCGAGGGUGGCCUCACCAUUGUUGGGUGAGGCUCACCCUUGCUAGUGGUGUGUGGGGGUAAGCCUUGCCAUUGGUUGGCGAGGCUAACCUUGCUGGCUUGAGUAAAAUAAAAUAUUAUUAAAAGAUUAUCUACAUCAAUAUUAGUUGGACGAGCGGUGUUGGUCGGCCAAAAUUUCUGAAUGAAUUGAAUAGUAUAAUUGCAAAAUGUUUGGGAUUGAAUUGGCUAAAAAAAAAGGUCUAAGUUUGAAUUGGAAAAAUUACAAUAAGUUUAUGAUUGUUUUGGUACGUCCUCCCUAUAUGGGAAGGAUCGUGACUAUGCUUCAAUUGAUGUAAGCAAGUGCAUCUUCACAGCCACUACCGCUCCCCUCCUACUCUUUGUAGCUUAUGCUACUCCCCUCUUAUAAAUCUCGGCUCGCCUGACGCCUUCGCCAUUGUGUAGGGAACGAGCGAGCUCGAGCUAGACCACAGUAAUGGCGGCAUCGACAAUGACGAUAAGGAGGAUCAAGUUGGGGUUGCAGGGCCUGCAGGUGUCGGUGCAAGGGCUGGGCUGCAUGGGCAUGUCCGCCUUUUACGGGCCACCCAAGUCGGAGCCCGACAUGAUCGCCCUCAUCCACCAUGUCGUCGGCUCUGGCGUCACCUUCCUUGACACCUCCGACAGCUACGACCCCCACACCAAUGAAAUCCUCCUUGGAAAGAUCGGUUCUCUCAGUCUCUGUUUUGCCUUCGCAUGAACUAUAUGUGCUUAUAAUGUUACGGAAUGUAGCUUCAUCGAGCAGAGUGCUUUGAUCCUGCGCCUUGGUUUUCUGAUUUCGGGGUUGAUUUUGAGCAGGCACUAACGGGAGGGGUGAGGCAAAAGGUGGAAUUGGCGACCAAGUUCGGAAUCAGCUUCGCGGAUGAGAAGAAAGAGGUCCAGGGCGAUCCGGCAUACGUGAGGGCGGCUUGCAAUGCCAGCUUGAAGCGACUUGACAUCGAUUGCAUCAACCUCUACUACCAGCACCGUAUCGACACUCGCGUCCCCAUUGAAGUCACUAUAUGGAUCCCUUAUCAAACUUUCACCUCGCUUGAGACUUUCUCCGAGCCAUAUGAUUAGUUGCUAAAUUAGAUUGGUGUUGAUGAUGCAUCGUCAUGUUGUUACAAGUUUGUUGAAUUUUGUUAAAUGACACUUAAGUUCAGCUGAUAGCAAAGCUCAAGAUGCGGCACGGUGUUGUUCAGGGGUUGUGGAAUUUAGUAGUUUAAUGGCUUGAGUUUUCGUUUUGUGGGCAUCCUUUACAAGUUAAGGGUCAACAAGCAUGAAAAUCAUUCGAAAUCUUCCUUACCUUUGAGAUGAAAGUGCUCCGGGGUUCAUCCUGAUUUUUUUUUUUUUUGGUGGUGAAAGUAAGUAAUUGUAUUAAGCUUUGCCAACUAUACAAGAUGAAAUCUUGGCACCAAAACUUGCACUCAGAAUGACAUGACGUCAAUGCGAGUGGAAGGAUGCUGAGAUGAAAAAUAGCAAGCAAUAAACGGUGUUGACACCUAAAUUUUGGCGAUCCGAUUAUUUAUUUAUUACAUAAAAAUUAUGGGUCAAUUUGUCUCUUAAAAAAUAUUAAUUACAUAUAGAUUUAGGUGCAUUUAUUUUUAAUUUAAUUUUUUUGUAUUUUAUUGGAUCGAUGGUGGAUGGAUUCAAAUUAAUGGUUAUGAAUUUUAAAUUGACAAAUCGAACUAAGUUCACGAAUAUAAGAAAUUGGCGCAAGCCCGUAUUUGAAAAAAUUCUAUUGUAAUUUUUGAAAAAUCAAUAGAAAACAUUCAUUUUUGCAAAGGAAAUCAAGAAGAGCUGUGGAAAAUAAAAAGUGAUAUUACGUGCGGAAAAGAAAUCUUUGCAGAUGUUGAUUUAAAAAGGAAAUUAAAAUCCUAAUUUUUGGUCUAUAAAAAAGUAACUUAGUAUAGGGUUUUGGGGAGGCUACACAUGGAAUACACAGCCAGUGGAGGGCGAAAUUCGAAAAAAUUUGGAGAGCAAACGCGAGGGGGCUUUUUCCUUCGGUUGAUUGGAGUUGAGAAUUCAAGAAAAAAGAAGAAGAAAGAAUUCGUUUGUUUGUGAAAAAAGGCAGCAAAAGUGUGCAGAAAAAAAGGAAGAGACAGAGACGGGACAGGGAAGAGUGAUGUGAGAGAGAGACGUGGAGUAGAAUAAAAAAGAAAAAAGAAAGUAAAAACAGGGAAGACUGUUCAUCCUCGCAAGCGCCUCAACCGCUGUCGCCGAUCCCUUUCGCCCGCACCGGCCCGCGACCUGCAGCCGCCGCGCUCCGUCGCCGCCUCACCCGAGCCGCCGACCACCACCGCUCGCUGCUCACACUACCGCUGUCCCGAUCUGCCCGCUCGAGCGUCCCUACGCCGGCAGAUCUGAGCUGCUCGCCACUCCACCGCCGCGCGAGUUCCCGCACCGGUCCGCGCCUCCUCUGCUGCUCGUGCCGUGCCACCACCAGGGUUCCUCUCGCUCGCGAGCUCGCACCGCCGCCCCGCUGUGCUGAUCCGCGACGACCCGACGCUCCGCUGCUGCUGCUGCUGCACCUUCGCAGGUCACCCCACCAGCACCACCGUUCGUCGCCCUGGCUGUAGGCGCGACGACUCGACACCGCCUCUGCUCAGUCACUCCUUCACCCGCUCCUGCUGCAGCACCAGUCGCUGCAACCUCCGCCGUCGCUCUUGCAUCCGACCCGACGCCAGCAGCAACGAUCCAGAUCCGGCGCCUGCUGCAGCCACAGCCCGACGCCGCUCCUCUGCCCGCGACCCAAGACCGGACGCCCAGGUCCGACGCCCUGCAGCUCCCUCUCUGAGUGACUCCCGCGACUUCCCUCACCGGAGCAACCCACCACGUUGCUGCUUCGCUUGAAAAAAAGAAAAAGAAAAAGAAAACAAAAAAAGAAAAAUCAAUUUAGGUAAUUUUUCCUUUUAUUUAUCUAUCUUAUUUUAUUAUUUUUGUUAUUUAACUUUAUUUGUUCUUUUUCAGUAUAAUUAUUCCUUAGUGUAAGGAUGAGAUGUUCGACAUGAAAUAGCCUGUGAAAUUUGUGAUUGUCAGUCCGAUUUUCACGCCUAAAAUCCGACUUGCAAUCACUUAAAAAAAAUCGCUAAUCCGAUCUUCCGCCUAAGAUUCAAUUCGCGAUUUAUGUGAAAUUGACCAACUCGAUUUCAUGCGCGAGAUAUAAUUCGUCAAUUUGGAUAUCAUCUUGCUCCGAUUUGUUGUCGUGUCAUUUAAUUAAAUUUGCUUUCAUAAAAAAAAAAUGUAGGUUAGAAUUAGGUUUAUUCCCUAUUUUAGGGUUUACAUAUUUAAAAUAUGAAUUUUAUUUCGAAUUUUUUUUUAAAAAAUAAUAAUAAAUUAAAAAAUCAAAAAUCAAAUCAAUUAAUUUAGGUUGCUAGUUUUUUUUUUUUUUUUUUAAAACUUGGAUUGCAUGUUUAAUUGUUUGGCAAUUAUUAAUUUCGAAAUUAAUAAAACAAAAACGCAACAAAAAAUCAUCAUGCAUAUGUCAUAUAGAAUUAGGGCAUCUUUUGUAUGUCAUUGCAUAUUAGGGUAAAAUUGCUAAUAUUUUUCUUAAUUUAUUAUAAGUUUAGGUAUUUUCUUAGAUAGAUUGCAUUUUAGGAUUGCUUGGGUUAGGAUAAUAUUCUAAUUUAAAUUAGGAUUUGGCUUAACCUAAUUCCUAAUACAAAUUGAAUAGAAUCUUAAUCUAGUUAGAUAAUUUUCACAUUUAAUCUAAUUUCGAAUUUCAUGAAAAAUACAAAAAAAAAGUCUUAGAAUAAAUUGGUUUUAUUCUCUAGGAUAAAUUGCAUUCUCUUUAAGGAAAAAAGAAGAAAAAUAUCAUGUGCAUGCCAUAUAAGAUUAGACUCAUGAGAUGCAUACCAUUUAGUGAUUGUUGCUAGUCCAUUUAAUUAGAAAUUGCAUAUCAUUAGAAUUAGGUCAUUUAGUUAUAUUGCAUUGCAUAUUAUAUGAUUUUCAUUAAAUAAGUGAAAAUAAAGAAAUUGCGUAUUGAUUAGAAAUUAUAUUUAAAACCGUCGAUGUGAAUUUUGAUAUAACAUUGUAGAUGCUUUCGUUGCUAUGAAAUGACUAUUACAAUUUAUUCAUUAUUUAUCUGGGUGUUAAAUUGGUGGUUUGCGCACUCAUAUGAUCACUUCAUAUGUUAAAAAAAUAGAUUUAAAAUCAAUCCAAAUUGCAUGUAAAAACAUUUUUGAAAAUAAAAAGAAGUGGUACCGAAAGGGUAUUAGAGAAUCUAGCAUAAUUAAGUCUCUGAACUCAUAAAUCUCUAAUUCGUAGGAGUGAAGUAAAUCUCCCGUUACUUUAUUUGAAGAUUAAUGGCGACUCCUAACUGAAAUAUCGUUUGUAUGUUAAGAACUUAAACCCAAGUUGCAAAUUGGUAUGGCUUGGGAGAGCUUGAGUUAGGUCUAGGCUUAACAAUUCAUUAGCCAAACCUUAGGUGAUACACACCUGAAAAUUUGGUCGCGACAAAUGGUAACAGCCACCACACAGCAAAGAAGAGCCAAACAACGGCCACCACUAGCAACCAAAGCAAAAAACAAAAGGCAACCGAGGGAUCAAACAGACGCAGCCAGAUCACCCCAAGCACCAAACCAAAAAGGGAAAGGCACAGUUCAAGCGUCCCAGUUGAGAGAAGCCGUGACCGACACGAACCAGGGGAGGAGGAAUCUUCAGUGAAACAGCCAACCCCAAGGACCUCGGCGGUAGCUCAGCACAAGAAUGUCCACCCUAGAAGGGUAUCCAGUUAGAAGGAGAUGGAUGAUGGAACAACCAUUCUCAAGGAUCGAACUCGCCGCUGAAAUAGCAGCUACAUGGAAAUCAGCUUCGUAGAUUUGAUCAAGAAUCACCUAAAGAGAAAACAAUCGGAUCAAUGCCCCAGGCACGCUGGAGUAUCCUGUUCCUCGCGGUACUAUCGACAUUUCUGAAAGUUAGAGCCUUAUCCCGGACAACCCUAAGGAGAUGGUUCUUCAGGGCCGGGAUCGUAGGAGUUAGCUCUCUAAACAAAAUAUCAUUCCUGUUCUUUCAUAUAAUGUGACAGAGGGCUCCAAGGGGUUCAUCCUGAAUUUAUAUACAGGAAUCACAGAUAAAGUUGUUCCUGGACUUUAUGCGGAGACAUUUGAUUCUUGACAUAUUGUGAAAUAUGACAAGUACUUGGAAUACUUCUUUUAUUUGCUCUCUUCUGUGAGAGAUUCAGGAAAUCUACCUCCGUUAACUCAAUACCUUGUGACUUUUUUGUUGCAUUGUGAUGCAUGAUAAUUGAGGGAUCUAGACACAUAAAAAGCUAAUGCCAUGCAUAAUUUUCUGGAUCUUAACAUGUAAGAUCUUUCGUCCAAAAAAAAAAAAAAACAUGUAAGAUCUUGAUUUUGUUGUUUUGUCAUGUGAAUAUGCAUAGAUCGGAGAGCUAAAGAAGCUCGUGGAAGAGGGUAAGAUAAAGUACAUCGGUUUAUCCGAGGCCUCUGCCUCAACAAUCAGAAGAGCACAUGCUGUUCAUCCCAUCACAGCGGUGCAAUUGGAGUGGUCGCUUUGGUCAAGAGAUGUGGAGGCAGAGAUCGUUCCAACGUGCAGGUAGGAUAUCACUCUGUUAAUUGUUUAUGCAGCAACAACAGCUUCCUUCUGACUCUGCUUUUCCUUUAAAAUGUUGACUAGGGAGCUUGGCAUUGGAAUUGUUGCCUACAGUCCUUUAGGACGAGGAUUCUUUUCUGUUGGCUCCAAGUUGGUGGAGAAUAUCUCUAAGGAUGACUUCAGACAGGUCUGUUCCUGCUUGUCAACAUAAUUAGAUGCCAGUAUCGGGCUUUGGCCCUCCGUCCUUUUUCAUUCUCAUCUUUCUUCACAAGAUAAACUAUAUCUUGACACAACCAUUUCUUGAGUAAGGACUCCUAGCACCCUUCUUAUGAGAGUUUUGGCUCAAGUUCCCAUCUGACAUAAAGCCAAUUGUGUAUUACUCCCCGCCAUUAGCGUUUGACUAGCGAUAGUGCUGGGCAAGUGAAGUAGCUAUUUUUUUUUUUUUGUAGCUAAAAGAGCUUUGCGUCUGAUAACGUUCUUCUACACAUCAUCUACAUUUCUGAUUUUUAUUUUAUGUGUGACUCAGGAAAAUGAUAAUUGCUCAUAUGCUCUCUGCUGAGACAUUGCUCUAUGUUAUGCAGUAUCUACCAAGGUUCCGGCCAGAGAACUUGGCUCACAACACGAAGUUAUUUGACCGAGUGAAUGGAAUUGCACAAAGAAAGGGAUGCACCACAUCGCAGUUAGCCCUCGCCUGGGUACACCACCAGGGUGAUGAUGUUUGCCUGAUUCCCGGCACGACCAAGAUCGAGAAUUUCAACUAGAACAUUGGAGCUCUGUCAGUGAAGCUUACACCGGAAGAGAUGGCCGAGCUUGAAUCGAUUGCUUCUGCAGACAGUGUCAAGGGUGGCAGGUACGAUGGAAGCAUGUCUACAUGGGAAAACUCCGACACUCCACCCCUUUCUUAAUAAAAUUAUGUGUUUUUCUAGUAAGGGAUGUUGCGAAAACUUUAUUGUCUUUUGCAUGCGUAAUUAUAACUAUGAGUGUAACUAUGCGUAAUUACAACAUGUGGCGUCACACAAUCCUCAGCACUUGAAUUGGGGUCUAUCAAGGUAGUGCUUGAGUCUAUGAUGCUCAAGCUCUAUUCAAUAGCACUUAGGCUCGGGUCCGCAAAGAUUGUGCAUCAGUCCUCAAUGCUUGAGGUCGGCUCGUUAGUUAAUAAAACGUUUGUUCUUAUAAAAAUAAUUAUUUUUAAAAAAUCUAUUUUUUUAUAUUAUUUGUUUUCUUUCUUUUUAUUUUCCUUCUUCUCGGCUAGUUGCCAACCAUGGCGCCGAUUGCGCCUGAUAACAAGCACCGGAUGAGCUAGCCCAAGGCCAAGAAGACUUGAGAUUGCUGAUUUGGCAAGCUUGAAGCUGGUCAAGUGCAAGCUCGAGUUUCGCCCCGUGGCUAGUCGCCAACUACCACCGUGGCUAGCGUUCGGUCGAGGAAGAAGAAAAAGAAAAAUAAGUAAAAAUCUGAAUAUUUUGUAAUCUUCUAUAGGGAAAUCAAAUAAGAUUUUUCAUAUUAAACGAUAAAAAAUAUUUUCUAGUUUAUUUUUAAGACUUAACCAAAUAUUGAAAAUGACUUUUUGUAAAAUAUUAUUCAAAUAUGUCAUAUUUUUUGCGAAACAAACGGUACAUAAAUUUAAAUUUGAUAAUUGUCCUUGUUAAUUUGGUACACAUUAUCUGUCUCUUUGUUUUGUUGCUGAACUGAUGCUAAUCUCUAGAUGAAGCUUGACUAGUUUCAAUAGGCGGCUUGACUUUUGCGCUUCCUUUUUUUUAAAACCCAAAACACUCAAAACUUUCGUGAUACACGACUUUCGACAUGCAGAGUUACAAUCACUUCAAAUAAUUUAUCUGAAAAUUGUAUAGUGGGCCAUCCGAGAAAGGUGAGGGCAACUUGUCCCCCUAGAAAUUGUCAUGACGUGGAACUCUUGACAUGAAUUGAAGUGACUUUUGUUAAGAGUUAACUAGUCAAGAUCGGGCCACAUCUGUCCAUUCAUGUCCGCCACAUCCGGCCCCUCCAAUCGGACUCCCCGGCGAAAAGAUUCACGGACACGUGGCUGGAUCUAGAAAGUCACGGGUUUGACUUGUCUUUUGUGUCACUAUCAAGAAUGUGCAUGGUCCGGACGGGCGAUUCCCGACCUAGAAUCGGGAACUGCUUGCUAAGGACCGAUUCCAAAACAUUGAAACGGAGAUCCACCAGUUAGUUGAAUGAAUCCACUUGGGAACCAGAUCGCUGAUUCAGUCCGAUUUCUAGGUGGAUCUAUGGAACCGAUCUUGACGCUAAAUAAUUUUAUUUUCAAUAUAGAACGACUACGUGAUUUCCAUAACAACAGCUGGAGAGGUUGUAGAAGGAUAUCAUGGUAGGCACUUACGAUAAUCGUGAGGAAAUGAUAGCAAUUUUGGUUAAACUUGUUUUCUAUCAUGGCUAUCAUGGGUCGAAUAAAAUUUUGCAAGCAAAUUUCGUGUCCUAGGCAUUUUUUUUCUCUUAGGUGUGAUGCUUUAAAAACCCUCUAUGUGAUGCUUAGGAACCUUUGUUUGUGAUGAAGCCUAAAGAUUUAUUCCUUGUUGUGGACUUGUUGUCCUACAUCAAAAUCUCUCAGUCAAACUUUUUUGCUUUGUUUUGGUAAGUCUGUAUAAGGUAUAUUACAGAAGUUGCAUUACGAGAUAUUUCUUCCUUAUUGUCUUUUUAGUUUAACUAAGGCCAAAUUGUUUUGGCAUUUUUCCAAGCAUUUCAUUAUGGAAUGAUGAUAAGAAGCGAUCUUGACUUAAUGCUUUUAGUUAUUUGAUUUGGAUUUAUUAAUUAGUAAUUUCAUUUUUUAAUAUUAAAAAUUAAUAUAUUAUUUUAAUAUAAUCGGUUCGGUCUAGGUGGGCGGGUAGAUAGAUCCGCUCAUGGAACUGGGAACCAGACUGGUACUCACCGGUUCCCAUAAAUUGGAAUCGAGAACCGGACCGGUUCCCUUAAAAACUACCGGUUCUGGGCGGUCCAAGCGGGUUUCGGUUAUUUUGCACAAAGAAUUAAAAAUUCAAUUUUUUUUAAAAAUAUUUUAAAAAGAAUUAUAAAAAUUUUCAUUAAAUUUGUAUUGCAUAAAAAUGUUUUAACAAUACUUUUUUUUAAAUAAAAAAAUCAUAAAAACGAGCUUUUUAAGGGUUAAUUAUUUUUUUUAUGUUAUUGUUUUUAGUUAUUCAAAGGUAUGUUUACUUCAAAUAAGGGAAGCAUGUGCAUAGUUUAAUUCUUUAUAAAUAUUUAAAUGUUUUUUUAAACUUUUCUUAUUUUAUUUUAUUUUCUAUUUUUAAUUUAAUUUGAAGAUUUAAUCUAAUUAGCAUAUAAUAGAAGUGGAUUUUCCUAAAAUAUUAAGAGGUUUUAGCAAUACGAGUUGGAUCGGGUAUGUGUCGGGUAUAUAUGAAUAUGGAUCAGAAUAAGUUAAAUAGAUCAAAUAUGAGUUCAUUCGUUUUCGACCGGACUCAAAUCCGGCUUGAUCCGGUUUCGACCCAACCCAAAUCCGACUCGAUCCACUCAUUUAACGGGUCUAGAUUGAAUUGACGUAAGCACGUGCGUCUUCGUAGCUACUGCCGCUCCCCUCCUAUAAAUCUCGGCUCGCCCGACAUCUUAGCCAUCGUCACGGUGCAGUGCAGGGAACGAGCGAGCUCGAGCUAGACGACGGCAAUGGCAGCGUCGACGACGACGGUGGGGAGGAUCAAGCUGGGGUCGCAGGGCAUGGAGGUGUCGGCGCAGGGGCUGGGCUGCAUGGGCAUGUCCAUCGGCUACGGCCCUCCCAAGCCCGACCCCGACAUGAUCGCCCUCAUCCACCACGCCGUCGGCUCCGGCGUCACCUUCCUCGACACCUCCGACAUCUACGGCCCCCACACCAACGAAAUCCUCCUCGGAAAGG
rnacentral:lncRNA from 1 species